rnacentral:tRNA from 1 species
GCUGCGGUGGCCUAGCUGGUUAGGGCGCCAGACUCAUAGGGUUUUGAGAGCAUCAUACGCGCCAUCAUCUGAGACAUCUGGAGGUCGCGGGUUCGGAUCCCGUCCGCAGCA